UUUCCAAACCAAACAAACCAGCGCCUCUCUCUCUCUCUCUCUCUCUUCAGCGUCUGUCCCCCUCUUCGGUGCCUGUUCUGGAGCUCUCAGCUGCUGCUACUGCUGCGGCCGCGACCUUCUUCUUUGUCCUCUUGUCUCCUCUUUCUUUUUCUCCUUCUCCUCCUCCUCGUUCUUGUUCUUGCCCCUCUCCCGCGGCCUUAACCACCGCCGGAGCUGCCGUGUCUGGAUGAGAAAUGAUCUCACCAACGACAGAGGAUGUAAGAUGGGUGAAGGAUUAGAUCGAGGCCAACGGCCUUCAUUUGCACCACAAUGUCCUCCAUAAGGGCAUUAACCGUCGCUCUCGCGCUCAACAGCUCCGAGAUCUUAUUCAGUCAAUUGAAAAGUUAUGGACUUUUGAAGCAUCUCCAUCACCCACGGAGUGCACGGGUGUGUGUUUGUGCUGGGAGCUCAAGAGGUGAUGUAGAUCCCUUUUACUCAAGAGAUUAUCAAUAAAGACCUCUAGGUAAGGAUUGCAUGCUUGAUUCUUGUAGAUUAAUCAUCUAAUAAUUAAAAUCAAGAAAUGAUUAGGCUAAAUUUCAUGUAAUUGGAAACAAAUUAGAUUUUAUUUGCAUGUCAUAUAGGUAAAUUAGAAAGAGGAUGAAGAAAUUGAGUUAGGUUUAAAAAUUAAUGAAAAGCUGUUUGGGAGAAAGAUUUGGGAAAAGUUGUUUUGCAACCUACAGAACGAUACAAUUGAGAUGAGAACAUAAAAUAUCUACUCACCCACUCUAUAAAAGGAAGUGCAUAAAUUUUUUAACAUUUUUUGGGUGCUUAAUCGAAAUAUCAAUAAAGAUUACUUGAGCAUACAAUUCAAUAUAUUCUAAACAUUUAGCGAAAGGAAAAAACCUAACUAUGGAGCUCUCUUUUGGUUUGAGUUUUGUGAAAGUGAGAAUUAAAUAACUAGAGAACUAUGUCCCGCUUAAGUCCUAGCAAAACAGCACUUAUUAGAAUGUAAACGCAUGAUAUGACCGGUGGCAUGCUUAAGUUAACUCCUCUAAGCCUUGUCCCUGGUACUUUACUAAUAAUUAUAAUGCAAGCACAGGUUUUGCCCACCAGCUAUAUUACAUGUACCUAGGUACGAGUAUUGGGUAUAGGUUAGUGCCCAUCGUCUGACCUUCAUAAACUUAAGAUAUUGGGAGAUGUAUUUAAAAGUUGGAUAUGGGUAUGGAGACAUGUCAUGAACAACACACUUAUAUAUUGCAUUUUUUGUAAUAUUCUUAGAUAAGAUAUUAUAAAUUGUGUAGAAAUGUACUUAAAUAGAAUUUAGGAAAAUAUAAAUUUUUUUAUCUCCCAUCCAUGUCAGAGAUUAGAAAUGUUUAUUUACUAGUAAAUGAGAGUUUCCUCUUUUUCAAACAUCAUAAAAAUUUAGAGGAUCUAAGUGUCUAAAUUGGAUAUGGGUGUCAAACACAUCCCACACUUCUACCCUUGUGAUAUUCGGUGGACACGGGGGUGAAAUAGAUGAGUCCAUGAAACACAGUCCACAGGAAAGGAAGUCUGACCACACAUGAGAUGGCAUGUGGAUGAAAACAAUACUUGAAUUUAUACCAGCCCUAAUCCCUAAUAGCUUAAGCUUUUUGAGUAAUAAUUAGUAGCAAUAACAAGAACCUUAAGUUGCCGCGCAAGCCUAUGUUCAUGCUACUAUGACGUUUUUUAUGGCAAUAUUGGCUUUCACAAACCAUGCCGCAUAUGAGAAGGAGUCAUCAAAAUGUUUACAAAAGCAUAGCACUAAAGCAUUAAAUCACCCCAUGGACAUUUCUAAAGCAAUGCGGUUGUUGGGUGACCAGAAGGAAACAUCAAUAAGUUUAAACAUAACAGGUUAUCUUCUCAUGAUAAACUCUCUUGAUUGCUGAUAAUAAAUAUUAUUUACAAUGAGGGAAAAGAUACCAAUACAGUAGGAGGAUCAUAACUGUUAAUGCAAGAAUUUUCGCUUCAUUCUAAAUUCUUUAUGAAAUAGAUUCAUCCCUUUGCAAAUGCCUUCAUCAUAAGAUUUGAGAAAGAUUUGUUGUAUCUACCUGUUUUCCUGAUUGAAACUUUAGUGUGGAUUAGAGAUAAUUGAGAAUAAGCUGCAACUAAACCCUUUGUAUUUGCAAAUUCUGCUACUGAAUGAAGUAUUACAAAUAUACAAUGUGAAAGACACAUAUUUAUGCUUCAAAGAUUUGGCUUUUGGAGGACUGAAGCAGUGUUGAUUAACCUUUUUGUAGAUAUGAGCUUAAUGCCUGUGAGUAUAGGAUUCUUGUUGGGUUCAAGUUGGGGUUUUGUAAUUUCAUAGCUAUUGAUUUACAUUGGAAUUUCCAUUCACCUUGAGUUAUAAUUCUUUUAGUUACUUGCUGUGUUUGUUUCUUGAUUGACCAAUGUGACACUUUUCUAACUGGCUAUUGAGUAAUGCUUGUUCAUUACUUGUUUGUUGAUGUGCUUAGUCAUUUUUCUUUUCCUUUCAGAAUAAAGAUGGGACAAAAGUUGAAUAUAGGGAUUCAAAAGGCACAAAAACAGAGCUGGAGGAAGUCUUGAUUACAUGUUGAGAGGCUUAAUAAGAAGACUCACUUCUUCCAGUCUUAGAGAAUUACAAAUUAAUUCAUUUCCUGAUUAUUUUAUUUCAUUUUUUGGAGUCUGCUGAAUACUUUCUUAAACUAUUUCUCUGCUGUGCUUUACCAAACCUAAUUUUGCUGCCUAGUGAAAACUUAUCAUGUUAUCUCCUCUUUCGGUGCACCAUGUUAACUCAUUAAAGAUUGUUUUUGCGUGGGCUAUUGUGGAUAUUUAUUUUUGUGUACGAAGAGCAUAUGUUCUGUAUAUGGGAGACAUUUAUUUUUCUACAACCCUCUAUUUUGAAAAUUCAGUGUUUUUGUAUGUAAUAUUUAAUUUAGAUGGAUUAUACUUGGUUGGUGCGGAUUUAUAUGAUAUUUGGAAUAUGAUGUUA